ensembl:lncRNA
AUGGUUAUUACAGAAUAUCUAGCAACUGCAUCCCAAAACUUUUGCUGCUUUUUCCACCGAUCUAGAUCUGAUGCUUGCUCUUUCUCAGGCCUUCGGAGGGGAAGAAGUCCGCGAGCUCAACAGUUUUCCUGCUCUCCCAUAAAGAAACAUGAGGCCCUGUUCUCAACUCGGAUAGACGCCAGCACAGAGAAGUCCUUGGGAAAGCAAGGAAGACUAUCCACCUCGGGUUCAGCACGCAGAUGCACCUUCCCUGCUGCAUGCAAGAAGUAUAACGUAUUUGUUCGUUACAGGAGAGCUCGUAGCUCUUGUCCCUGAGUCAGGUACGGCAUCAAUGCAACAGGCUUUCAGACUCAGGCAUCCAAUUUAGAGACACUCUCAGAGGAAGAUAGAUCAUAAUAUAGACAGUGCAUGUCCAGUACAGUUCCAGCUCUGGAGACAUCAUUCACCAAGUGUUUAAGCCAGCAGAUAAACAGAUUUUGCUAGCAUGCGAGAAAACCGUGUCCAGCCUGACUGCAGGCAAAAGCAGUCAGUGGGCGUUCACUGACCUGCCAUGUGCCUUCUGCAAUUAGUCUGGAAAGUAACCACGACACCUGCUUUGCAAAGGAGCUUCUCUCGGCAGCAGGCUCCAAAGACCGUACGUUUGUCUUCCCGCAAGACUUCAGCCUCGGUGCUGUGGCUGGGGAAGUGAGCGCUCUGCAAUUCCUCCUGGGAACAGAGGACCACUCCUUAAAAUGAGUUUCUUGUGUCUGUUAAAAGGGAAGACAUUUUCUGAGAUUUUUUUAUUUAAGCUAAGAGGAAGAAGGGUUGGGGAGGAUAAGAGUUUUUCAAGUUUUUGAUUAUAAGUUGUUUGGAGGGAGGGAGUGCUCUGUAAAGAGGUGAAAGAAAUGGCCUGGUUUUGGUAUCCUCCUGUGGGCAGGAGCACUGGGCUCCUCCGCUUCCCUUUGUGUGGGCUGGAGGCAGGGGAGCGAGGGGCGGGUGGAAUUCAGCUCCUUAAGAAUUUAAUUCCAAUUUCAUUACAAUUUUUGAUAAGCAGCUGUCGUGUACAGUAGCAGUAAUACACAGUGGACUUUUUGACGGCAAUGCUUGGAAAAAGCAUUGGAAAAAUGGAGAAAAUCCAUUCAUUUGGGUUUCUCCACUGCAAGAGGCAGGCGCUGAGGCCGUUGCAAGCGCUGUGAGUACCAGCAGGCUGUGAGGGCCGGAGGUGGCAGCCCCUUUGUCAAGGACCCACCCGGGACUUCCUGGUCUCUGCACCCAUUCUCGAAAAUAUGGGCAUCAGUGGAGGCAGGGGGCCUCUUCUGAGGCAUGAUAACGAGUAUCCUCAGCCCUCUAAAAAGAGUCCCAAGAGCCUGAUACGCCAUCAUUUCAGGUGAUUCCCUUUUUUUUGUUAGGUCUUUGAGUUAAAAUGCCAGAUUAAGAAAUGCGGCAACUGUUGAUAACAAGUCAGAAAUAGUGAUUAUAGAUUUUAUUGCCAACUUUUUUCUCUGUGACUUUCCUUCUUCCUGUCCGCAUAUAUCCCGAAGGCAAAAGUGUAAUAUCUGAUGUGCCUCUCAGCACUAACAAAUUAAAAAUAUUCGUAUUCUGGAAAACAGGCUGCAGAUGUCAUCUAUGUACUCAGCUGCAGGGAGGCAUGGGAGGGUCUUCUCGUCUCAAAGACCUGCGAAGCCUGAAAGCGGGGGGAGAGUUUAUGUCCCUGUUACGCUUACUGACUGCACCUCCCGUCCCUGCCUUCAGUCUCACAUUGAAUGCAUUUAAAUAUACUCUUAUAAUUAAAAAAUAUAUAGAUAUUUAUGAAGAAUGGAACAGCUUCAGCGGGAGAGAGUGGGAAAGAACUGCCCCAGAAACUCAUACUGCCGGGAGACGAGGGUGUUGAGGCCCUGCUUUGAAAUGAGCAGCGCUGGGAUUUGAAACUAAAUUGCUGCUACCUCAAAGUCCACCCUGAUAAGGGGGGAGAAGCCUGUCCCCUUGUCCCUGCCCGGGGCUGGAAAGCAGCACCUUUAGCUCUUGUACCUCUUACACAGGGAUCUGAAACGCUUUGUUUCAGAAAUACUGAAACAGUGGUUUCCCCCUAUUUAAGGUGUUUUCUUUCUUAUGUGUUUUGUUCUUGUUGUUUUGUGUUUUUAACUUGGCACAGGCUACUCACUGCACUCGGUCUCCAUUCAGAAGUCGCCUCCAAGGACCAGCGAUGACAUUUUGGGGUGGAUGCGCUGUGCCUCCCAUACUCCUACGGGGGUCUGCCCACCUUUCCUUUGGGUCCCCUGGUUCACGCCAGGUUCAACAUGAAAUGAAACCUUCUCUCCUCAUUCCUCCUCAGGACAGUAUGUGACAAGAGCCCAAGACAGCAGAGGAAAUGAGGAACUGUCAAACUGGUUAUUUGAAUCAAUUUUCGUUACUGAGGGGGAGGACUUACUUGAUGGGAUGGAAGAACACUUUGAGGAAUUGGGUUUAUUAACUAGGAAGUUAGGCUAAAAUUGCUGAUACUAGGGCAGGCUGAUGACUCCUUAUUCAUGAGAAUCACCAUAAGAGAGUCUCUCUUGCAUUCCCUAUUAGGGUUAAAAUUGUAUCAAUUAUGAAAGCUGUCAGCCUCUAUAAAUUAAGAAAUUCAUGUGCAGUGUGUGUGAGAGAGUAUUUCAUAUGUUUGACAGGGAAUACAUGACCUUGAAGGGUAAGGAUGUGUGAGGAGUGGUGCUGCAGCAAAAUUUUCUUUAUUUUACAUGGUAAUAAAAUUUUCUGUGCUUUCUGAUGCUCCUGAUUG